ensembl:lncRNA
UGGACUGGCUCUGCCAGCCCCACCUCUACUGGGAGAAGCUCCUGGCCAAGACGGAGUUCACCCUGUACUCUCUGGUGGUGCAGCAGCUGUCAAAACAGGACCACUCUGACUACGCUGGCAAGAACAGACUAGUCUGCACAAGGAUGUGACGCCAUGCCCCUGACCUCUGACCCCAGACCAGAUCCUGCUGAUGUCAAUGAAGGACAUGAACAACACCAAGGUGUCCUCUGUCGACCUGUCGCUGUUCAACAACAUCAUCCAGGACCUCAUCCUCGCGAUGGAGACCCCAACCAUCGACUACAGAAAG